CGGCCAAAGUCUGGAUCAUUAUAUGUGCAUGUAAUUUCUUUGUGCAUAUUAUGUAUUUGCUGUAAAGCACUUUGAGCUGCAUUUUUUGCAUGAAAGGUGCUAUAUAAAUAAAGUUUUAUUAUUAUUAUUAUUAUUAUUAUUAGUCCAAUGAGGGGCUUCCAGCCAUAGAGACCUCGAGAACCAGCCUUGGUGUGGGUGAUAACUGGGCUGUUUUAAGGUGAAAGAAGAGUUGAAAUGAACAGAACCAGCCUUGGUGUGGGUGAUAACUGGGCUGUUUUAAGGUGAAAGAAGAGUUGAAAUGAACAGAACCAGCCUUGGUGUGGGUGAUUACUGGGCUGUUUUAAGGUUAAAGAAGAGUUGAAAUGAACAGAGCGUGCAGGGAGGUGAAACAUCAGUUAUGCCAUUUCCAACAAUGUGAUUGGCUCUUUAUAAUACAGGGCAGGGCUUCCUGUUUCAAAUCCGCCAUGCAAUACGGAUUCCUUCCUAUUUCCUCCAUUUUUUUUACCAUCAGUGAUUUGUCUCCUCUUAUAACUCUGCUCUUCUGGCACCGAAGUCUUAACAGUUCCAAAGGCC
ensembl:lncRNA